GGGGAAUAUUGGACAAUGGGCGCAAGCCUGAUCCAGCAAUGCCGCGUGAAUGAUGAAGGCCUUAGGGUUGUAAAGUUCUUUCGCUCGUGACGAUGAUGACGGUAACGAGAGAAGAAGCCCCGGCUAACUUCGUGCCAGCAGCCGCGGUAAUACGAAGGGGGCUAGCGUUGUUCGGAAUUACUGGGCGUAAAGCGCACGCAGGCGGUCUGUAUAGUCAGAAGUGAAAGCCCUGGGCUCAACCCGGGAACUGCUUUUGAUACUGGCAGACUAGAAUCCGAGAGAGGGUAGUGGAAUUCCCAGUGUAGAGGUGAAAUUCGUAGAUAUUGGGAAGAACACCAGUGGCGAAGGCGACUACCUGGCUCGGUAUUGACGCUCAUGUGCGAAAGCGUGGGGAGCAAAC
rnacentral:rRNA from 1 species